UGUGUAGAGCCAAGAAAUACGUCGUGUUUUCUCUCUCUCGGUAAAUUUCUUGCCUCUCUCAUU
ensembl:miRNA mdo-mir-7398w mdo-mir-7398w